UUUGGUGGCUGACUUAUAUAUAUAUAUAUACUUUUGGUGGAUCCUAAACGUAUGUGGUUAGGUGGAAUUGUAACAUGGAUUCUGAGCAACUAGGUCAAGAAUGUAGACUUCAGAAAUGCCAGUGCCAAAUAGACUCCCUCAAGUUCUUAUGAACCUAUUGAAGUAGAGGUUUCACUGGUCCUCAAGCCAUCCUUCUUUCUGCCCAUCCUCCAGUAUCGUAUGUUUGGCCUUCAGAGAGAAUCACGGUAAAACAUCCAACCCUCAAUUCUAGCAAUAGGAACACAGGAAAGUAGAUAGUGUAGUACUGCUAUCAAAUAGGACUAGAGAAUUCUAUAGUCAUUAUGUCAUUUGCUUUGCUGAAAAUGGAAUUGGAAACAGAAUUUUUGAGUGCACAUACAGGAAUAUUAAUAAAGUCUCAUCGUGGAAUGUACAAUGAGAAAGUGAAAUACAAUAUUCAUUCAAUUAAGGUCUGUAGGCAAAAUAUUGUCCUUUGGGAUAUAGAGAAAACCUGGGAUAUUGAACUGUAUGUCACAGGAAUGAACCUGGGAAUAAAAUAUCUAGAAGAAUCUCCUCCACUCUAUGUUGCUAAAUCUUUUCUAGCCAUGCUCAGCCCCUAACUUUGUCCAUUCAGAGCAGGUAACCCCUAAUGAAACAAAGAGAAAUCUCUACCUUUAGAGAGAUGUAGUGUGUAAAGUUUUCCACCCUUAAACAGGAGACUCUCCUGAAAGUGUCACCCUCAAAUUUGGUCAAUGUAAGGAAAGCUGUUUAGCAGGUAGACCAUGGCAGUUUUCAGUGACUUCAUUAGGCCUCGCUGAAAUAACUCUUGUAUCCUGGAACCCGAGCUUCUUCUGUGAUGUCACAAGUGUCCUGACUGCAACCGCCUCUCAGAUAUCCCUUCAGGACCUCUAGGGUUCACUAAUUGUCCUUUAAUGCAUUGUAUACAGCCAUUUGAGAGGGAGAACACAGAGGAUGAAGUGAUCAGACAUGGGGAAUAUGAAGCUGGCCUUCUGUCUUGGGUAUGGACUGAAGAAACUGAAGGGGAGGGCAGCCUCUAUAGGAAGACCAACAGUCUCGAAUCAUCCCCACCCCUGAGAUCUCCCAGACACUUAGCCACCAACCAGGGUAUCUUUGAACUUGGGACAUCUUGCCACAUUCUAGGUGCUGAGACUACAUUCAGGCAAUUUCCAGCUUUCUUUCCUUUAUCUUAGUAAGAUGUGUUAGAUUAAAUAUGUUAAUAUUAUGCAGUAAAUCCUCCAUAUGUUUACUUAUAGAACCUUGGCUCAGUGUCUGUUUCAUUCCUCUGCAAUGACUAUAUUAAUUUUAGAGUUCACAGUUCUCUCUUUCUUUACACAAUUGAUCAGAUGUGUUUUUCUUUCAUAUAGAAUGAAUAAGAGCCUUUUAGUUUUUCUUUGAAUAGUUAAUGUACUAAGAAAAUGUGUUGAAAUUCCCAUUUUAAGGCCAAGCCAAAACAUUAUUUCUUUAAAAUGUUCCUGGAGUUAUGUUUUUCUUUUUCUUAUUAUUAUUAUUGUUCUCAUUAGUCUCAUUAUUAAUAUUCUGUGUAAGCUUUUAUGUGUUCAAGUCAUGUAGUGAAUAUGGAAAUCUUCCAAACAUAUAUGUGUAGGUAUCAAAUUUAGGUUCUUGGUUUUUCAUGGCAUAAAAUUUUAUCUGCUCAGGGACCUCACUAGAACACACUGUAAAACAUUAAGGUGACAUAUAGCUCCAGGCUGCUUUUAUAUAUACAAUGUUUCCAUCAUUUUGUUUUAAAAAAUAUUUUUGAUUAUUCUAAUAUAUUUUGUUUUCAAUGUCCAGUUGGUAAGUCUAGUAUGCUUAUUUUAUUAUUUAAGUAAUAAUUUAAUCAUAAUUAUUGUGCACUUGAUACAUAGCUAAUAUGAAAUUAUCUUAUAAAAUUGAAUAAAUGUAAUUAGUUCCCUUCAGCAUGAACCUUGGUACAUAAUUUUGUUCAUUAUUACUAUGUAUUUGCAUAAAACAGAGAAUAUUUCAUUGUCCCAAUACUGAUGCCAAUUUUAUACAGUAUGACAGCUACCAACUACAUGUGACUUUUAAUCAUUUAAAAGGAGUUAAGAUUAUAUUGUUAAAUGAUAUUUCCAUAACAUCAAGUAAAUAGAUUUUUUUGCUUCAAUUAAUUAAACGUGCUACAGCAGGAAAAAAUUUAAUUUCCUUUGAUAUGUUAAAAUGAAAUUUAUCUUUACCAUUCUCCUGCCUAUCAGAAAGCCAAUAUUCUUAUACAGGAAGAUUUGCCAAGCACAUGGCAGGAUAGCCACAAAGGCAGUGCAGUGGCAUGAAUAGCUUGGUGAUAGCCAACAGCUCUCUAAUUUUGCUUAAGUCCUGUUCAGUGAACAUGGAUGGUACUGAUAGUUUAUCCACAUAUAUAAGGUUAUUGAAGCUGUGGUUACAUACUAAAGCCAGUAUCAUACCUAACAACAAUCAUAGCCAUGUGUCCUUAUAUACAGAGUAAUUACAGUCUCUGCAGCAAAGAUCACAGUAAAAAUCCCAGCCAAUCAUAUACCCAAAAGAUGCCUCAACAUAUAAAAGAGAAACGUGCUCCACUAUGUUCAUCGCAGCCUUAUUUUUAAUAGCCAGAAAAUGGAAAGAACCCAGAUGCCCUUCAACAGAGGAAUGGGUACAGAAAAUGUGGUACAUCUACACAAUGGAAUAUUACUCAGCUAUCAAAAUCAACGAGUUUAUGAAAUUCGUAGGCAAAUGGUUAGAACUGGAAAAUAUCAUCCUGAGUGAGCUAACCCAAUA